GUUUUCAUGCCUUGGCUACAGCUACUGUAUAAUCAGAAGAUAAAUGCAUGAGUGGUGCUGAGCUAUUAACGUUGAAAUGUGUGGUCUGGGGCCAAAGGAAUGGGUGUGGGUUGAGAGGUGAAAUGCUCAUACCCAACAGUCUGCACAGAAGUGAGUCUGAAAUGUCACAUCUCCAAAUGAACAGAAGCAUCAUGAGCUGGGAUUGGAGGGAGCCAGGUGUGGGAAAAGGAGCAGUGGGGUUAAAUGUCCCAUGGGCUGUGUGAACACUGGUUCUCUAGGUCCUGCUAGGAGUAUAGCUACUAAACCAUGGAGGCUUUGAAGGCAUCUGCUUAGAGGAAUGGUAAGAAUCUUCUCAUAUAACCUACUGAGAAUUGCUUAAAUAUAAGCUUAUUUUUUGAUUCUAGAAAGAGUUAAGGUGGAAGGAAUGGGAGCCAUGCUUUCUGGUGCCCAGCUAUCUGCCAUUUUGGUCACCGUGGCCACUGUGCUAAGAGGGUGCUGCAGAGGGAGAAUACCCCCCUGCCAAGUGCCUGAGCAACUCACUCUCAUUCUCAUUCCUUAUUAGCUUAGCACUUUGCAUCUCACUUCACGGUGGCAAUGAUGCAUGUGCGUG
rnacentral:lncRNA from 1 species